ACCUCUGUAGAACAAUGGAUAGUGUGUUGGACUUCUCAUUCAAAGGACGUGGGUUUGAGUCCCACCUGGGGUG